rnacentral:rRNA from 1 species
CCUACGGGUGGCAGCAGUGGGGAAUAUUGCACAAUGGGGGAAACCCUGAUGCAGCGACGCCGCGUGAGCGAUGAAGUAUUUCGGUAUGUAAAGUUCUAUCAGCAGGGAAGAUAAUGACGGUAUCUGACUAAGAAGCCCCGGCUAACUACGUGCCAGCAGCCGCGGUAAUACGUAGGGGGCAAGCGUUACCCGGAUUUACUGGGUGUAAAGGGAGCGUAGACGGGAGUGCAAGCCAGAUGUGAAAGCCCGGGGCUCAACCCCGGGACUGCAUUUGAAACUGUGUGGCUGGAGUGUCGGAGAGGCAGGCGGAAUUCCUGGUGUAGCGGUGAAAUGCGUAGAGAGUAAGAGGAACACCAGUGGCGAAGGCGGCCUGCUGGACGAUGACUGACGUUGAGGCUCGAAAGCGUGGGGAGCAAACAGGAUUAGAUACCCGAGUAGUC